GGUCAGUUGACACAUCCCUGCCAAUCUCCGGCAGACCCUCCCUCCUAGACCCUCCCACCUCCUGGACAGCAUCCAUGUUGAAGCUGCCUUCAACAUGGAUGCUGUCCAGGAAGUAGGAGGGUCUGGGAGGGAGGGUCUGCCGGAGAUUGGCAGGGAUGUGUCAACUG